GAUGAAGAACGUAGCGAAAUGCGAUAAGUAAUGUGAAUUGCAGAAUUCAGUGAAUCAUCGAAUCUUUGAACGCACAUUGCGCCCGCCAGUAUUCUGGCGGGCAUGCCUGUCUGAGCGUCAUUUCAACCCUCAUGUCCCUAGGGCGUGGUGUUGGGGAUCGGCCAAAGCCCGCGAGGGACGGCCGGCCCCUAAAUCUAGUGGCGGACCCGUCGUGGCCUCCUCUGCGAAGUAGUGAUAUUCCGCAUCGGAGAGCGACGAGCCCCUGCCGUUAAACCCCCAACUUUCCAAGGUUGACCUCAGAUCAGGUAGGAAUACCCGCUGAACUUAAGCAUAUCAAUAAGCGGAGGA
rnacentral:misc_RNA from 1 species